UACCUGGUUGAUCCUGCCAGUAGUCAUAUGCUUGUCUCAAAGAUUAAGCCAUGCAAGUCUAAGUACGAGCUCUCGU
rnacentral:ncRNA from 1 species